GACGAACGCUGGCGGCGUGCCUAAUACAUGCAAGUUGAGCGGACGUUUUGUUGAUGCUUGCACCGACUUAACGUUAGCGGCGGACGGGUGAGUAACACGUGGGCAACCUGCCCUGUAGUCUGGGAUAACUCCGGGAAACCGGGGCUAAUACCGGAUGAUACUUUUUAAUUCAUGUUAGAAAGUUGAAAGAUGGUUCUGCUAUCGCUACAGGAUGGGCCCGCGGCGCAUUAGCUAGUUGGUGAGGUAACGGCUCACCAAGGCAACGAUGCGUAGCCGACCUGAGAGGGUGAUCGGCCACACUGGGACUGAGACACGGCCCAGACUCCUACGGGAGGCAGCAGUAGGGAAUCUUCCACAAUGGACGAAAGUCUGAUGGAGCAACGCCGCGUGAGUGAAGAAGGAUUUCGGUUCGUAAAACUCUGUUGUAAGGGAAGAACAAGUACAGUAGUAACUGGCUGUACCUUGACGGUACCUUAUUAGAAAGCCACGGCUAACUACGUGCCAGCCGCCGCGGUAACAC
rnacentral:rRNA from 1 species